GACGAACGCUGGCGGCGUGCUUAACACAUGCAAGUCGAGCGGUAAGGCCCUUUCGGGGGUACACGAGCGGCGAACGGGUGAGUAACACGUGGGUGACCUGCCCUUAGCUCUGGGAUAAGCCUGGGAAACUGGGUCUAAUACCGGAUAUGACCUCAUGACGCAUGUUGUGGGGUGGAAAGCCUUGUGCGGCUAGGGAUGGGCCCGCGGCCUAUCAGCUUGUUGGUGGGGUGAUGGCCUACCAAGGCGACGACGGGUAGCCGGCCUGAGAGGGCGACCGGCCACACUGGGACUGAGACACGGCCCAGACUCCUACGGGAGGCAGCAGUGGGGAAUCUUGCGCAAUGGGCGAAAGCCUGACGCAGCGACGCCGCGUGAGGGAUGACGGCC
rnacentral:rRNA from 1 species